GAAAUGCGAUAACUAGUGUGAAUUGCAGAAUUCCGUGAAUCAUCGAGUCUUUGAACGCACAUUGCGCCCCCUGGUAUUCCAGGGGGCAUGCCUGUCCGAGCGUCAUUGCUGCCCAUCAAGCACGGCUUGUGUGUUGGGUCGUCGUCCCCUCUCCGGGGGGGACGGGCCCCAAAGGCAGCGGCGGCACCGCGUCCGAUCCUCGAGCGUAUGGGGCUUUGUCACCCGCUCUGUAGGCCCGGCCGGCGCUUGCCGAACGCAAAUCAAUCUUUUUCCAGGUUGACCUCGGAUCAGGUAGGGAUACCCGCUGAACUUAAGC
rnacentral:misc_RNA from 1 species